rnacentral:lncRNA from 1 species
UUUGCAUUGCCCGACUUACCAGGCAAGGGCUGUUGUGGCUCAUCAUGGCACUGCAGGGGGCUUCUUCCCAGAAGCCCUCUGUGUGGCAGGAAAUUCAUUUAAGGCUGCCCGGAGGGCCAGAGCAGACAUCGGGCCUGCUUUUCAUUGUUGAGACAGCAGCAGCAAGGACAGCAGCAGCAGCAGACACAAGGAAAUUUCAGCAGACGUGUUGGCAGGCCUUCAUUCCAAGUAGAAACUAUCUCAUCAGGAAGCUUAAAAGGACUCUUGCUAAAAUCCAUGACUUAGCUUUGCCUCUCUCCUGCUGAAAUCACUAGGUAAGUUAAGUUUCACUCCAUUUGUUUGUUGUGUGCCUUCAAGUCAUAGGUUUUUCUUGCCCACAUUUGCUAAAAUAGAGUUUAUGCUUGCUGUCCUGUGAGGCUGACAGAAUAUGACAUGCCCAAGGUUGUCCAGCGAGUUUCUAUGGCUGAGAAAGAAUUUGAAUCUUAGUCUCCAAAGUCCAGUUCUCCAACCACUACAUUACUCGGUCUCUCUUAUACCUCUGAAAGAUUGAUUUUGCAAUCAACCUUUUAGGCCCCAGGAAUCUUGGAUUUUACUCAGAUAAUCUUUUAGUUCAUUUUCUUUUUCAAAGUGCUUGUUCAGCAUAGAGAACCAUGAUUAAAUUUCCUCCUUGAACUUGAACUCUAUCAGCUUAAAGAGCUUCUCACAAAUC